rnacentral:tRNA from 1 species
GCCCUGGUAGCUCAGUGGUAGAGCACACGGCUGUUAACCGUGGAGUCGCUGGUUCGAAUCCAGCCCAGGGCG